rnacentral:rRNA from 1 species
CCUACGGGAGGCAGCAGUGGGGAAUUUUCCGCAAUGGGCGAAAGCCUGACGGAGCAAUACCGCGUGAGGGAGGAAGGCUCUUGGGUUGUAAACCUCUUUUCUCAGGGAAGAAAAAAUGACGGUACCUGAGGAAUAAGCAUCGGCUAACUCUGUGCCAGCAGCCGCGGUAAUACAGAGGAUGCAAGCGUUAUCCGGAAUGAUUGGGCGUAAAGCGUCCGCAGGUGGUUUUGUAUGUCUGCUGUUAAAGAGUUAGGCUUAACCUAAUAAAGGCGGUGGAAACUACAAGACUAGAGUACGUUCGGGGCAGAGGGAAUUCCCAGUGUAGCGGUGAAAUGCGUAGAGAUUGGGAAGAACACCGGUGGCGAAAGCGCUCUGCUAGGCCUGUACUGACACUGAGGGACGAAAGCUAGGGGAGCGAAUGGGAUUAGAUACCCCAGUAGUCCUAGCCGUAAACGAUGGAUACUAGGCGUUGUCUGUAUUGACCCGGACAGUGCCGUAGCUAACGCGUUAAGUAUCCCGCCUGGGGAGUACGCAGCACUGUGAACUACAAUAGAUAGACGGCGUGAGACGNGCCGACGGACGACGACGAGGGAGGUAGG